rnacentral:rRNA from 1 species
AACGAACGCUGGCGGCAGGCCUAACACAUGCAAGUCGAACGCUCCAGCAAUGGAGAGUGGCAGACGGGUGAGUAACGCGUGGGAACCUUCCCUAUGGUUCGGAAUAGCUCAGGGAAACUUGAGGUAAUACCGGAUAAGCCCUUCGGGGAAGGAUUUAUCGCCAUUGGAUGGGCCCGCGUAGGAUUAGCUAGUUGGUGAGGUAACGGCUCACCAAGGCGACGAUCCUUAGCUGGUCUGAGAGGAUGAUCAGCCACACUGGGACUGAGACACGGCCCAGACUCCUACGGGAGGCAGCAGUGGGGAAUAUUGGACAAUGGGCGCAAGCCUGAUCCAGCCAUGCCGCGUGAGUGACGAAGGCCUUAGGUUGUAAAGCUCUUUUGGCGGGAAGAUAAUGACGGUACCCGCAGAAUAAGCUCCGGCUAACUUCGUGCCAGCAGCCGCAGUAAU